UUUAUAUUUAAUUUUAGAUAUUUCUCAUUUUUAUGAAUAUAUCAUAAAUACAGACAAAAUAGCAUUAGAAGUUUACAGUAAACUUGUUUACUUGUUCAUGUACACACUUCUAAGGGGGAAAAAACGGAUUUGUUUCUCGAAAUCUCUAGAAGUACAUGUUUUUCAGUAAAAGUGGGCGGAGCUAAAUGUGUUUACAUCGUGCUGGUCAACAUAACUGGCUGGCUGGGAAUAUUUUGAGGGAUCAAGGCCAAGCGUCAAGGACUAUUUUAUUUUCUCGUCGCUUCUUGAAAAGUCUAUGAGUAGAGUAUAAAAGAUGACCGCGCACCUCACCCCGAUCAGAUUGACACAUAGACCUAUUGCUGAAAACGUUUGGGUAGAUCUUCACAAGUCAAGCGUCCGUGCUCA